GAACCAAAUUGGCUAGGGCUCUAUUUUGCUAUUUUAAAAACGCAGUUACCUGAACCUGGGCAUAAAUUUGGGAGGAUAAUCGCAACACUUUGCAAACUCGAAGAUGGAAACAUUUAGUCUGACCCGUGCUUCUGAAGGCUAUCGCAGCCGAAUGUCGGUCCUUCUCUCCUUCUCGUCGCGUUUUCCAAAACGGCAGCGCCCUCCCCUGUGUCGCGGGGCCCCCCGCGGAGCACCGGUCGGACCGCUAGGUCCUAAAACAGGCGCCGUAAAGAGCCUCUGAGCCGGGCGGCCGGGGUUUAAAUUGUGCCCCAAUCGCUUCCUAAACAUUCGACCGUGGUUAAAUCUUCUAACUGUUCUACGCCGAAGUCUCCCACGGUGGCGAAAUGAAGAUAAAAAUAUCUGCGAUGAUUGGAUGGGUAAAUCGAAAUGCCCAAACAUGGUGUGCUGUGAGCUGUUGAUACUAUUUUUAUCUCUCUGAAUUCCGAACCUGUACAGAGGCCUGAGUCCUUUCCAUCCCAAAGACCCCCUUCGCGGGCUGCCUCACAGCUCGCCUGGAAUCGGCUGGUCUACAGAGAAACCCUCUGAAGAACUGCCCUGAGCAGUUGAAUCCAUCCCAACCCGGCUGCCAAGCAAAGCAGGUGCUGUUACAGACCAGGGUCAAAACCCUUUAACUGGGUUAACGGACAGAAAGUACCCAGAUGAAUGAAUUUGCCUGAGGUCACACAUUAGGAAAUGGUGGGGCCAGGAUUUGAGUCCAGACCUUUCAGGAUUAACCACAUACAUGUUCCAGAAAGCAGCAGUGAACAAGACACAAGAAUACCUGCCUUCCCAGAGCUUGCAUCCUAUUGAGGACAGACGAUCAAUAACGGAAAUAAUUCUAUAGUAUAUUAGAAAGUGAAAGUGCUAUGGAGAAAAAUAAAGCAAGGAAAGGAAUUCAGUAGUGUGCAAAAUUGGGAUUAGUUAUAAUCCUCAAAGGACUGUGAGGAUUAGAGACAAACUAGGUGACAUACAAAAAGUGUUGGGGACUCAAUAUGGGGACUCAAAUGAUGACUUUUUAAAAACUCCUGCUUUAUUCCUGCACAGAACUGACUUGCUGUUGCUGAUGCUCCUGUCUUGAAUCUCCUCUUCCUGGCCCUGUCACCCAGCCUCCCAGGAAACAUUCUCAAAAGAGUCCUAACAACUGGGAGAAUCAAAGGCUUCCUUACUUCCUGAGGCCCCGGUUCCCUGCUUAGGCUGUGGUUCGUGUGUAGAGGGCUGUGUCUAUGUGCAGGGAAGCAAUUUUCCAAGAUCCUAAUUUCUCCGUGUGCAUAUGCGUGCGCGUGCACCUAGAAUCCGGGCUUGAAUUCUUCCCCCUGGGAAGCUGCUUAAAAGUGUCUUUUGGUUGUGAAUGUUUGCUUGACAAUUGAAGAAGCAUUCCAGCUUUGCAGGAAUUUUCCUGCCUCAAGGACACUUGGAAUUUAAGUGACCCAAAAGGGUUAGCAUGACCUCUAAUCUUCUUGGAAUAAUCGCUAUGAAUGCAUUUAUUAGCACGUCAUGUGAAAAUAGUUACACGGAUUUUCAGCUAAUAGGGAGAGCAUGUUUUGGAAGGUCUGACUUAAAAAGUAGUCAUGUGGCAUAUUCAAGAUUCACUUUUAGAAGUCCCAGGGAGCCCUCAAAGUGACAGUGGCUUUCAGAACAGCUAGACCUCAGAAUGGAAUUUAACUGCAUUUGAGAAAUAUCUUUGAAAUGGUCUGCCUGGAAAUAAAGGGCAUUUGGGGUUCAGAACUAUUGGAAAGGUCUCUUGGCAGAUUCCUCAAAAAAGACAGCGAGUUAUGUCUGAUCAGCAGGAACCGAAGAGGCCCAAAGGGCUGACAGUAGGAUAGGCUGUGCAGAGAAAACCAAAAGGAGUUUCAAAUAUGUGCCCCAAAUGAAAAGCACAACUGCAGAUCCGGGUUUGCAAUCAAACAGCUUCUCACUGGCAGCUUUAGGGAGCUGGCCCCAGGGUGAGGGGCUGCAGGGUUAACGCUUUUCCUAAACAGUUCAGGAGUGGGGGAAAGGCAGGCUAGGUUAGAUGGCGCUAACAGGUAAGCUGGUCGGUAGCAGUGCCAGAAUCACACACCCACAGGCACAUCUAGGGCGUGGUUGGAGCAUUCCUAUAGACGACAUGGCACUUGAACAUCUUGCCAGAAUGAUACAACCGGCAGAAAAAAUGGGAACUAAUGUGAAAUUUCGACCUUGGCCCCAAUCGGGCUAAGCUUUCAAAAAUGAUGGUCUUCAUCCGCUUUCUUGUGUUUCUGUUUUCCAUCACCUGAGGGAAUGCACGUAAUUUACAUUCA